rnacentral:rRNA from 1 species
UACGAAGGGGGCUAGCGUUGCUCGGAAUCACUGGGCGUAAAGGGUGCGUAGGCGGGUUUUUAAGUCCGGGGUGAAAUCCUGGAGCUCAACUCCAGAACUGCCUUUGAUACUGAAGAUCUUGAGUCCGGGAGAGGUGAGUGGAACUGCGAGUGUAGAGGUGAAAUUCGUAGAUAUUCGGAAGAACACCAGUGGCGAAGGCGGCUCACUGGCCCGGUACUGACGCUGAGGCACGAAAGCGUGGGGAGCAAACAGG